UAGAGUUUGAUCCUGGCUCAGAUUGAACGCUAGCGGCAUGCUUAACACAUGCAAGUCGAACGGCAGCGAGGGGUGCUUGCACCCUGUCGGCGAGUGGCGGACGGGUGAGUAAUGCGUAGGAAUCUGCCUUAUAGUGGGGGACAACUCGGGGAAACUCGAGCUAAUACCGCAUAAUCUCUACGGAGUAAAGUGGGGGACCUUCGGGCCUCACGCUAUAAGAUGAGCCUACGUCGGAUUAGCUUGUUGGUGGGGUAAGGGCCUACCAAGGCGACGAUCCGUAGCUGGUCUGAGAGGAUGAUCAGCCACACUGGGACUGAGACACGGCCCAGACUCCUACGGGAGGCAGCAGUGGGGAAUAUUGGACAAUGGGCGCAAGCCUGAUCCAGCAAUGCCGCGUGUGUGAAGAAGGCCUUCGGGUUGUAAAGCACUUUCAGCGGGGAAGAAAAUCUCAAGGUUAAUAGCCUUGAGCCUUGACGUUACCCGCAGAAGAAGCACUGGCUAACUCUGUGCCAGCAGCCGCGGUAAUACAGAGAGUGCAAGCGUUAAUCGGAAUUACUGGGCGUAAAGCGCAUGUAGGUGGAUGCUUAAGUCGGAUGUGAAAGCCCUGGGCUUAACCUGGGAACUGCAUUCGAUACUGGGUAUCUAGAGUAUAGUAGAGGGUAGUG
rnacentral:rRNA from 1 species